GCCACAUUGGCCGAAAUUAGUUCGUCAAAUCAAGAAGAGGAACAGGAGAAUAAUAAAGAACAAGCCACAUUGGCCAAAAUUAUUUCAUCGAAUCAAGAAGAGAACAACAGUUUCAGUCUUCAAAAUCUCGGAGAAGAUUGCUGCAAUGAGUGUAGCUGGUCAAACAACUCCAAUGAUCAUGCAAGUAGCGGCCUUGCGUCGGGCAGGAGGAUUGAGAUUUGCAUGGGGGGCAGGUGCAAGAAGUUGGGAGCACUUGCAUUGUUGGAAGAAUUUGAGAGGAAGGUAGGAACGGAGGGUGCCGUAGUGGGGUGCAAGUGCAUGGGGAAAUGCAAGAACGGUCCUAAUGUGAGGAUUCAAAACGAGAGUGCAAAAGGUUCUGUGGAACCUCCAAUCAAUCCUCUAUCACUGUGCAGUAGAGUAGAACUGGAAGACGUAGAUGAGAUUGUUAGAAAUUUUCUGGGCAAAGACAGGAACGAUAAUUGUCUAAUGGCAUCCUCUUGAAGAGACCUGUUUAUUUUCUGAACAUUUCGCUAACUGUGAGGAUUAAACAUUCGUUUUCUUAGGGUGAUUUCAUAUGUUACCAGAGAAAUUUCAUACAUUUCAACAUUACUUUAGUUUUGCUGGAGAGACUAACAGUUUGAUGAGUUGGGCUUCGUGAGUCGAGUCUUUUUGCAGUAUUAGAGUUCAUCAGGAGGGUCGACGGUGACACCAAAUAUGGAUAGUAAGAUCUUGAUGUUGCGGUUUAAAAGUUUAUUCUUCAUAAUUUUCAUUUGAUGUGAAGACAUGAAGUAAAUAGAUGAUAUAUCAAAAUAAAACCUACUUAGGCAGCUAGUCUCCAUCAGUAAUGUCUAUUACUCGCAUAUCAAAGAAAAGUAAAAAAUUCCCACUACAGUGUCUGUUACU
rnacentral:misc_RNA from 1 species